CAUGGAACCGUGGGCGGGUCUGGUACACGCUGGCUGAGGAGGACGCAGUCGGGUUGAGGGGCGACUGCAGGAGAACACGGUGAGAUGCAGUUUAUGCUGCUGUUUAGUCGUCAGGGGAAACUUCGACUGCAAAAGUGGUAUGUUCCCCUUUCAGACAAAGAGAAGAAAAAAAUUACAAGGGAGCUGGUGCAGACGGUCCUAGCACGUAAACCGAAGAUGUGCAGCUUUUUGGAAUGGAGGGACCUGAAGAUUGUGUAUAAAAGGUAUGCAAGUCUUUACUUCUGCUGUGCUAUUGAGGACCAGGACAAUGAGCUCAUAACACUUGAGAUUAUUCAUCGUUAUGUUGAACUCCUAGACAAGUAUUUUGGAAGUGUCUGUGAGCUUGACAUUAUCUUUAACUUUGAAAAGGCUUAUUUUAUCUUGGAUGAGUUCCUGUUAGGCGGAGAGGUUCAGGAGACUUCAAAGAAGAAUGUACUGAAGGCAAUUGAACAAGCUGAUUUGUUACAAGAGAACCAAAAUGAAGACUGGGGAAGUUUGUCAGCUGACGAUAUCUUAUGAUUGAAAGAAAUCUUAGGCUAUUGGCCUGUUAUGACUCCCCAUCCAGACCAUUGGAAGCUGAGACUCCUCGUAGCGUACUUGAAGAAAUUGGACUGACAUAAGUCUUCAGUUAAAGUGAAUGAUGCCCCCAAAUAUUCAAAAUUAGAUUUCACUGCUUUGAUUGUUAAUGUAUGGCUAAUGUUGUACAAUGCUGCCCCUUUGGAUUUUUGUGAUUUGUUUAGUUGAACAUGCCAUUUAUUAUGCUUGAGACAAGGGAAAACUGAAGUCAAUAUGAGUUGAAUGGAGACUUAGCUUAAGUUGAGGUUGGCAGAAUCUUUUUUUCCCAAAAAUGCAAUGAAAUGCAGGAUAAGUUUUAGUAUGACCAAUUACAAUGUGUAUGAGAGAAGCUGCGAAUGAGCUGGCUUCUCCCCCAAUGUUUUUCAUUUGCUGGCUUGAGGAAUUGGAUGACUUUAACUCCCUUUUGAUGUAAAUGAAUAUUUUGUUCUCUGCUAAAUUGAAAAAAUCUCCUCUUGGAGUAUGGUUAACUGUCAGGAUUUUGUAUAUAGUACAAACAUUUCAAUCUCUGUGCUUUAAAUCUAAAAUUCACCAUACCAAAGCAGCCAAUGUCAACAGCUAUUGGUUUGAAAAUGCAGUCUAUUUUUAGAUUGGCAAAGUUAUACAGCUGUGUACUUAAAUUUUGUUUGAACUUUUAAUCUAAAACUCGAGUAUUGGAAAACCAUUGCCUUUUAAGGAUGACUGUGAUCAUGAUGCAAUACAAGGGAUAUGAAAGGGAUUUAAUUCUACAAUGUGCUGUAAUCAUGUAAGACUAAAAGACAAUUUUCAAUGAUGUGGAAUAAUCACUGGUUUAGUAUCUGGCAUCACUGCCCCACAUCAGAUCUAAUUGCCGAGGCUUCAUUUUACACUGAUCAGUGUUGUUGGGAUCUGUUCAGUAAGUAGUAUUACCAUUACAAGUGUUCUUCAUCAAAUAUCCUGUAAUUAUUUCACCUAGACAUUUUUAUCCAUAAAAUGAUGUUGGUUUUGUUGUGAUUUACUCAACAAUUAGUCUAUUUGCAAAAAGUCUUGUCCCUCAAGUCAAAUCAGGUCGAUCAACUUGGUUUGCAGUUGCUUAAAUGUUUUUGGUCACUGUGCAAAAGUGUAGUAGGUUUUAGCUGUUUAAUAUGAGCUCUCAGGCAGUCUUUAAUGUAAUGUGUGUGAUAGUCCAGUGGUUUGUCUUAAUGAACAUGGGAGUGAAAGUAUUACAAUGAAUGUACAAGACACUGAAUUAAAAUGUCCUUUUAUAUAUAUAUAUAACAAAAAAAUCUGCUGUACCUUGGAGAUUAAGCAACUGAUUUAUGAUUAAAACAAAGCAGUGUUUUUAGUGUUUUUUACAUAGACUAAUUAAUUUGCACUUUGUAAUUGUAGAUGGCUUGCAGAUUCAUUCACUUGGGUCGUUAACGGAUUCUCUUAUGAGAAUGUGUCUACUUCGGUUAUUGUAAUUGAUGUAUAACCCGUCUAACCAAAAAAUUAUUACAGAUCCCAUUGGAGCGCAGUGGUAACAGUGAAAGGAUACAACAGUUUGUCAAAAGGACAGUAAUGAGCAAAGCUGACUCUGGAUAGCUGGAUAAAAACAGCAAAUGCUAGAAAUACUCAGCAGGUCAGGCAGCAUCUGUGGGGAGAGAAGGUUAAUAUUUCAGGUUGAAAACCUUUUGUCAGAACUGGGAAGGAGGAAAAGAAGCUUAAGCUGUCAGGGGGAGGGGGUGGGGGAGAAUGCCCCGAUAGGUUAUAACUGGAGUGACCAUGGGGAUAAACUGUAAACAAGGUUAUUUGAUCAUUGAGUGAAAUGGGAGCGGAGAGUGAGAACACAGACAAAAGAACAUGAUCAUAGUUAUACAAUAUGGAAGUGGGCCUUCCAGCCCAAUCUGUCCAUGUUGACCAAGAUGUCUAUCUGAACUAGUCCCAUUUGCCUGCAUUUGACCCAUAUCCUAGGUCUUUUCUAUCCAUGUAUUUGUCUAAUUGUCUUUUAAACAUUGUAAUUGUACCUGCCUCUACAGCUUCCUCUGGCAGCUUGUUCCAUUUACCACAACCCGCUGUGUGGGGGGAAAAGUUGCCCCUCUGGUCCCUUUUAAAUCGUUCCUACCAUGGGGAGUCUAAAACUGUGACUAUUCACCUUAAUCUACACCACUCAUGAUUUUAUAAGGUCAUAUUCCCUAUUCCAUAACCUCCUAUUCCCCAGAGGAAAAAGUCCCAGCUUCUUGAGGCUUGUCGAAGAUUGCAGUGGGACAUUGAUAGGAUGCAGAGCUGGGCUGAAAAGUGGCAGAUGGAGUUCAAUCCGGAUAAGUGUGAGAUGGUACACUUUGGAAGGACAAACUCCAAGUCGGAGUACAACGUUAAUGGCAGGAUUCUGGAUAGUGUGGAGGAGCAGAGGGAUCUAGGGGUCCAUAUCCACAGAUCCCUGAAAGUUGCCUCACAGGUGGAUAGGGUAGUUAAGAAAGCUUAUGGGAUGUUAGCUUUCAUAAGUCGAGGGAUUGAGUUUAAGAGCCGCGAGGUAAUAAUGCAGCUAUAUAAAAUUCAGGUUAGACCACACUUAGAGUACUGUGUCCAGUUCUGGUCGCCUCAUUAUAGGAAGGAUGUGGAAGUGUUGAAAGGGUGCAGAGGAGAUUUACCAGGAUGCUGCCUGGAUUAGAGAGUAUGCAUUAUGAGGAGAGACUAAGGAAGCUAGGGCUUUACUCUUUGGAGAGGAGGAUGAUGAGAGGAGACAUGAUAGAGGUGUACAAAUAUUAAGAGGAAUAGAUAGAGUGGACAGCCAGUGCCUCUUUCCCAGGGCACCAAUGCUCAAUACAAGAGGGCAUGGCUUUAAAGUAAUGGGUGGGAAGUUCAAGGGAGAUAUCAGAGGAAGGUUUUUUACCCAGAGAGUGGUUGGGGCAUGGGAUGUACUGCCUGGGGUGGUGGUGGAGGCAGGUACAUUGGUCAAAUUCAAGAGAUUGCUAGAUAAGCAUAUGGAGGAGUUUAAAAUAAAGAGAAUUGUGGAAGGGGUGAGGUCUUAGGUGAGGCACAACAUUGUGGGCUGAAGGGCCUGUAUUGUGCUGUACUGUUCUAGGUUCUAACUCGGGAUUCCAGACCCGGUAAAAUACUCAUGAAUCUUUUCUGCACCCUUUCUAGCUUUGUAGAGUCAUAGAACACUUAUGUAUUGAAAUCCAUUUGCCACUCCUCAGCCCAUUUACCUAACUGAUCAAGAUCGCUCUGCAAUCUAUGAUAACCUUCACUAUCAACAACACCUAAUUUCGUGUCAUUCGCAAACUUACUGAUCAAGCCUUGUGUAUUCGCAUACAAAUCAUUUAUAUAUGUAACAAUUAACAAGGGUCCCAGCACCGACCACUGCAGCACACCUCUUGUCACUGGCCUCCAUUCCAAGAAACAACCUUCAGCCACCACCUUCUUGUUCCUACCUCUGAGCCAAUUUUGAAUCCACUUAACUAGCUCUCCCUACAUUCCAUUGGGACCUAACCUUCCAGACCAGCCUGUCAUGUGGGACCUUGGUGAGGGCCUUGCUAAAGUCCAGAUAGACAAUGUCCAUUGCCCUACCUUCAUCUACCAUUUUGGUUACCUCUUCAAAAAAAAACCCUGAAGGGUUCUUCAAGCACAACUUUCCGUCCACAAAACCAUGAUGAUGGCUCCUAAUCAGACUCUGUCAAUCCAAAUGCUGGUAUUUCCUGUCCCUCGGAAUUCCCUCCACCACUGAUGUCAGGCUGACCAGCCUGUAGUUCCCUGGCUUGUCCUUGCUACCCUUAAACAAUGGAACAACAUUAGCCACCCAAUGAUGUCCUUCCUAUAGCUGGGUGAUCAGAACCCCACACAAUACUGUGGUCUCACCAAUGACUUGGUAUGUUUGUAACAUGACAUCCCAACUCUGGUACUCAAUGCCCACCGCUGAAAGCAAGUGUGCCUAUCCUGUUUACCUGUGUUGCUUUCAGGGAGCAAUGUACUUGUACCCCUUUUCUGUUCUACAACACACUCCAGGGUGCAAGUCCUGCCCUGGUUUAACUGACCAAAAUGCAACACCACUCUCUUGUCUGAGAUUCUGUUUGCCAUUCCUUGGCCCACUGCCCCAGUUUUAGAUCCUUCUUCACUUUCCACGACACCACCAAUUUUAGUGCCAACUGCGUGCUUACUAACCAUGUUAAGAACAUUGCAUUCCAAAUCGUCAAUAUAAAUGACAAACUGGGGACCUGGUGCUUAUCCCUGUGGCACACAGGCCUCUUGUAUCCCUUAUACUCAAGGAAUUCACUUGAUCCUAGCUGCCUAUACCUGACAUAUGCCUACUUUUUCCUGACCAGAGCUUCAAUGUCCCUUGUCAACCAAGGUCCCCUAAUCCUGCCAGCCUUGUGCUUUACUCUAACAGGAUUAUGCCACCCUGAACUUUUAAAAGCUUUCCGUUACAAGAUGUCUCUUUACCUGUAAACAACCUCUCCCAAUCAACCUUUGCAAAUUCCUGACUAAAGCUAUCAAAAUUUGCCAUAUAAUUUAGGAGUUUAACUUGUGGACCAGUCCUAUCUUUUUCCAUAACUAUUUUAAAACCAAUAGAAUUAUGGUCACUGGUCCCAAAGAGCUGCCUCACUGCCCAAUAGGAAGUCUAGUGCUGCCCUCUCCAGUAGAGCUAUCUACAUAUUGUUCGAGAGAAUUUCCUGGACACAACAAAUUCUGCCCUAUUUAAUCCUUUGGCAGACCCAGCCAAUGUGAGGGAGGUCAAAAUUACCUACUAUUGCAACCCUACUAUUCUUACAGCUAUCUAUGAUCUCCCGACAUAUUUGUUCCUUUACUUCUGAUGGACCAUUGGGGGGGCUCAUUGUAUAAUACCAUUAAAAUGAUCAUUCCCCUCUUAUUUCUACCUAUAUAGCCUCACUGGAUGAUCCCCCAAGAAUAAAGUACUGUCAUGAUUUUCUCCCAGAUCUGCCUCCUCUCUCACCUUCUCUGUACCCAGGAACACUGAGCUGCCAGUCCUGCUCCUCUCAACCAUGUUUCUAUUAUGGCAAUAAUAUCCCAGUCCCAUAUACCAAUCCAUCAUUACUUGUCAGGGUUCUUGCAUUAAAAUAAAUGCAGUUUAGACUAUCAGGCCUUCCUUGCUCCCUGUCUUUGCAUGCUGUUUCUUAAUUUGUUUUGGGCCUUAUGAUCACCAGUGGGUCAGUGGGAGUGGGAUGGGGAAUUAAAGUGGUAAGCAAUGGGAAGCUCUGGGUCACCCAUGGACUGAAUGCAAAUACUUUGGAAAGUGGUCACCCAAUCUGCUUGCUUUUUCCUGUAUUGAGGAGACCACAUUAUGAGCACAGAAUGCAGUACACAGGAUUGGAAGUAAAAGUGUAUUUCCUGCAUUUUUUUUUACAGCAGGAAUUCAUCAACAACUUAUUUGGAAUGGAAUAUUGCUUGGACGACUAAUGAUCAUUGAAAGACAGCACAGACAUUGGCCCACUGCACCCAUGCCAACCAUCAAGCACCCAUUUUUUCUUUUUACACCAAUCCUUCCCUAAUGCAUUUUUAUUUUCCCUGUGUUGCCUUAAAAUCUUUCCAACCCUCCCAAAAAAAAUUCUACCAUGCACCUACACGCUAGGGACAAUUUAUAGGAGCCAACUAACCUUGCAACCUACACAUCUUUGGGCUGCGAGAGGAAACCAGAGUGCCUGAAGGAAACACAAGCUGUUGCAAGGCAAACAUGCAAACUCCACACAGCACCAGAGGUCAGAGUUGAGUUGCUGGAACUGAGGCAGCAGCUCUAUUGGCUAUUGAUAAUUUCAUAUGCAUGUAAAGAUUUAAUAAUCAUAGAAUCAAACAUACAGCACAGAACACCUCAGAUCCCUUGUGCCUUAACCUUCUGGACCAGCCUACCAUGCAGGACCUUGUCAAAAGCCUUACUGAGCUCCAUAUAAACCACAGCUUUUAACAGUUUUCUUAGUUACCCCCUUAAAAAAAAUUCAUUUGAGAGACAUAAUCUCCUUUGCACAAAACCAUGCUGACUCAUCCUAAUCAGUCCCUGCCUUUCCAAGUGAACAUAAAUCUUGUCCCUCAGAAUCUUCUCCAACAAUUUCCCUACCACUGAUGUCGGGCUCACCGAGCUGUAGUUUUCAGGCUUAUCCCUACUGCCCUUUUAUCCACCCUCGUGUGCUCUAAUAUUUCUAACACUUCCUCCUUUCUGAUAUAGACAUGCUCCAGAAUUUCACCAAAUAAGUUUGGAUUUAUAGAUUAUCCUGGUACCUGUGGCAGUUCUUUAAAAUUGGUUUCCUCCCUUUUGUCUAAAAUUUCCUUUGCAUUGGGAACACUCUAGUUAGUCUGUCCAAUCCUGUUGGAAUUUUAUAGGUCUCCACAAGAUCCUCUUUCAUUCUAUACUCAAAUGCACAUAGGCCCAAUUUCCCCUCAUCAUGUCAUCAUGCCAAGUAUUAGUCUUAUGAACCUUUAUGGCAAGACCAAAACUGCACGUACAUCUCCCAGAUGGCGUGUACCAAGGCCUUGGACAACUGCAGCAAGACAUCCUUACUCCUGAAUUCAAAUCCUCUUGUGAUAAAAGUCAAUAGAGGAUUGGCCUUCCUAAUUGCUUAUAGUGAUUAGUAUACAGGAACACCCAAAUCUCAUUGCAUCGUCCCUCUUUCCAAUCCAUCAUCAUUCAUAUAAUGUCUUCCUGUAUUUUACAACCAAAGUUUAUAACUCCAUAUCCUUUCAUGUUAAAUUUCACCUGCCAUCCAUCUGCCCACUCUAACUUGUUUUUUCUUUCUUAACAAAUUGACGAUGUUGUUAAUAGAUAAGCAUGACUUUCCUCUUAUAAACCUAUGCUGUCUUUGCCCAUUCCUGUUAACUCACUGAUAUUCUAUAAUUGCAUCUUUUCUAAGAUUCCACAACUUUUCCCCACUACUGCCAUUGGCCUUACUACUGACAAUUGCAUUGGGAUAAAUAACAUUAAAUUUUGCAAAUCCCAUUGUAUAAAGAAGCAAAACAGACUUCAGGUAUUAGAUUUCAAAUUUACAGAAUGGUGUAAAAUCUCAUGUUGGAUAUACUAAGUAGGCUAUGGUCAAAAUAUAAAACAUUUUGGCAAUAACCUGCUCCUGCUUAGGCAAUGUAAUUACUUGGCAUAUCAGUUUGGUGCUAUUGUCCCAGUAAACAUUCAUAAAGUGUAUACUGAAUGAGGAAGAAAUGGGUAAAGAGUUUAUGCUGACUAUAUGAUCCACAUUGACACUUCAUGUUUGAAAUAAAGUUCAUCUUCAGUUA